CUGGUGUCCUGUAAGAAGAGGAGACGAGGGACGCACAUGGAAUAAGAAGCAUGUGAAGACAGAGAGACGCAUAAGGAGAAGAUGGCUGGGAUCUUGCUCUGUUGCCGACUGCAGUGCAGUGGCUCGAUCUUGGCCCACAGCAACCUCCACCUCCUGGGUUCAAGUAAUUCUCGUGCCUCAGCCUCCCAAGCAGCUAGGACUACAGGAGUGUGCCACCAUCAGGAACUUUCAUUGUAGUGGAAAAGAUAAAUGGAGAAGCAGGUCAUUAAAAACCAGGGCCAAGGACGGCACAGACCUGGGGUAUUAGGUAAGCUCCAAAGGUGGUCACUUAAUUUGUAUGAAGGUUGG